rnacentral:lncRNA from 1 species
AGAAGAUGAACUUUUUCUAUUUAGACCCUUUUUAACAAAAUUAUACGUUCUAUAAGGAUUAUGAGAAGGCAUAUCAUAUUUAGAAGUAUCAAUAGCAAAAGUAACCUUAGGUUUCAAAGCCUUAUCCAACUUGGCUUUAAGAGCUCUUGACUCUGUUUGCCGAAUGUGACAAGUUUCACAACCAAACCAUGAAGGUUUGAUAUCCUCACUCUUAUCUUUUAGAAUAUCUUGCAUAGGUUGCCAUAGAGCUUUCAUAUUCUUUUCAUUUUUCAAAUUUUAGCUUCUAAAUGAGAAAAUAUCAUUUUAUUUGAAGCUAACUUUUUGAAAGCAUAUAUGACUUGUCUUUGUAGAUUUUCAAAAAAUUCUUGUAGUAUCAAUCUUAGAGUGACUUACAACCUUUUUCUUCUUCUUUCCAUUUUUCAUGAGGCAAAUCAGGGUUGCUUCUUCACUUGAAGUUGAGCUUUCAUCACUUGAAGAAUCGCUCUCGCUCUCCCAAGCAACAUAUGCUCUUCUAGACUUGCUAGAUCUCUUGUGAUGACCUUUCUCAUUAUCUUUCUUCUUCAUAGGACACUUCGGCCUAUAAUGACCCGAUUUACCACAGUUAUAGCAUGAGCUUUUAGAAUUACUCUUCUUAUUCUCACUUUCCUUAGAAGAUUAUAUAGCCUUCUUGAUUUAUUGUUUUUUUAAUACUUAUCUCCAUGCUUCCACAUGUAUCUCUUAAAAACUUUACAACAGUUAGUUGAUUUAUUAUGUGUGAAACAAGACAACAUGCAUUAACCUAUAAUUACUUGUGUUUGCAAUCACUUGAACUCUCUCAAUUCAAAACUUUACAUUUACAAAACUAUAUUCUCUUCUUGCUCAUUCUUACUAAUUCAUAGAGUGUAAGCAUAGAGCUUGCACUAAA